CGCCUGGGGAGUGCGGCCGCAAGGCUAAAACUCAAAGGAAUUGACGGGGCCCCGCACAAGCGGCGGAGCAUGCGGAUUAAUUCGAUGCAACGCGUAGAACCUUACCUGGGUUUGACAUGGAUCGGGAGUGCUCAGAGAUGGGUGUGCCUCUUUUGGGGUCGGUUCACAGGUGGUGCAUGGCUGUCGUCAGCUCGUGUCGUGAGAUGUUGGGUUAAGUCCCGCAACGAGCGCAACCCUUGUUCACUGUUGCCAGCACGUUAUGGUGGGGACUCAGUGGAGACCGCCGGGGUCAACUCGGAGGAAGGUGGGGAUGACGUCAAGUCAUCAUGCCCCUUAUAUCCAGGGCUUCACGCAUGCUACAAUGGCUGGUACAGAGAGUGGCGAGCCUGUGAGGGUGAGCGAAUCUCGGAAAGCCGGUCUCAGUUCGGAUUGGGGUCUGCAACUCGACCUCAUGAAGUCGGAGUCGCUAGUAAUCGCAGAUCAGCAACGCUGCGGUGAAUACGUUCCCGGGGCUUGUACACACCGCCCGUCAAGUCAUGAAAGUUGGUAACACCCGAAGCCGGUGGCCUAACCGUUGUGGGGGAGCCGUCGAAAGUGGGACUGGUGAUUAGGACUAAGUCGUAACAAGGUAACCGUA
rnacentral:rRNA from 1 species